AUUGAACGCUGGCGGCAGGCCUAACACAUGCAAGUCGAGCGGCAGCGGGAAAGUAGCUUGCUACUUUUGCCGGCGAGCGGCGGACGGGUGAGUAAUGCCUGGGAAAUUGCCCAGUCGAGGGGGAUAACAGUUGGAAACGACUGCUAAUACCGCAUACGCCCUACGGGGGAAAGCAGGGGACCUUCGGGCCUUGCGCGAUUGGAUAUGCCCAGGUGGGAUUAGCUAGUUGGUGAGGUAAUGGCUCACCAAGGCGACGAUCCCUAGCUGGUCUGAGAGGAUGAUCAGCCACACUGGAACUGAGACACGGUCCAGACUCCUACGGGAGGCAGCAGUGGGGAAUACUGCACAAUGGGGGAGACCCUGAUGCAGCCAUGCCGCGUGUGUGAAGAAGGCCUUCGGGUUGUAAAGCACUUUCAGCGAGGAGGAAAGGUCAGUAGCUAAUAUCUGCUGACUGUGACGUUACUCGCAGAAGAAGCACCGGCUAACUCCGUGCCAGCCGCCGCAGUAACAC
rnacentral:rRNA from 1 species